CGUGAGCGGCGGACGGGUGAGUAACGCGUGGGUAACCUGCCUCAUACAGGGGGAUAACAGUUGGAAACGGCUGCUAAUACCGCAUAAGCGCACAGUACCGCAUGGUACGGUGUGAAAAACUCCGGUGGUAUGAGAUGGACCCGCGUCUGAUUAAGUAGUUGGUGGGGUAACGGCCUACCAAGCCGACGAUCAGUAGCCGACCUGAGAGGGUGACCGGCCACAUUGGGACUGAGACACGGCCCAA
rnacentral:rRNA from 1 species